rnacentral:rRNA from 1 species
GGCGGACGGGUGAGUAACGCGUAAGAACUUGCCCUUUAGACUGGGAUAACAGAGGGAAACUUCUGAUAAUACUGGAUAAGUUAGUAUAUCGCAUGAUAUGCAAAUGAAAGCUACGGCACUAAAGGAGAGCUUUGCGUCCUAUUAGCUAGUUGGUAAGGUAAGAGCUUACCAAGGCGAUGAUAGGUAGCCGGCCUGAGAGGGUGGACGGCCACAAGGGGGACUGAGAUACGGCCCUUACUCCUACGGGAGGCAGCAGGC